GCUGGGCACAGUGGCGCAUGCCUGUAAUCCCAGCAGCUUGGGAGGCUGAGGCAGGAGGAUCUUGAGUUCAAAGCCAGCCUCAGCAAACUUAGUGAGGCCCUAAGCAAUUCAGUGUGACCCUGUCUCUA
rnacentral:sRNA from 1 species